AUUGAACGCUGGCGGCAGGCCUAACACAUGCAAGUCGAGCGGAUGAAGGGAGCUUGCUCCUGGAUUCAGCGGCGGACGGGUGAGUAAUGCCUAGGAAUCUGCCUGGUAGUGGGGGAUAACGUCCGGAAACGGGCGCUAAUACCGCAUACGUCCUGAGGGAGAAAGUGGGGGAUCUUCGGACCUCACGCUAUCAGAUGAGCCUAGGUCGGAUUAGCUAGUUGGUGGAGUAAAGGCCUACCAAGGCGACGAUCCGUAACUGGUCUGAGAGGAUGAUCAGUCACCCUGGAACUGAGACACGGUCCAGACUCCUACGGGAGGCAGCAGUGGGGAAUAUUGGACAAUGGGCGAAAGCCUGAUCCAGCCAUGCCGCGUGUGUGAAGAAGGUCUUCGGAUUGUAAAGCACUUUAAGUUGGGAGGAAGGGCAGUAAGUUAAUACCUUGCUGUUUUGACGUUACCAACAGAAUAAGCACCGGCUAACUUCGUG
rnacentral:rRNA from 1 species